UACAGAGGUCUCAAGCGUUGUUCGGAUUCAUUGGGCGUAAAGGGCGCGUAGGCGGCGAGGUAAGUCGGGUGUGAAAUCUCAGAGCUCAACUCUGAAACUGCAUCUCGAUACUGCUUGCUAGAGGACUGGAGAGGAGAUUGGAAUUCACGGUGUAGCAGUGAAAUGCGUAGAGAUCGAUGAGGAAGACCAGUGGCGAAGGCGGGUCUCUGGACAGUUCCUGACACUGAGACACGAAGGCCAGGGGAGCAAACGGG
rnacentral:rRNA from 1 species